rnacentral:tmRNA from 1 species
GGGGCUGAUUUGGAUUCGACGGGAUACAUAAAGCUUAAGGUGCAUGCCGAGGUGAGGCUGGCCUCGUAAAAAGCCUCAAACUAAUAGUUGCAAACGACGACAACUACGCUCUAGCGGCUUAAUCCCGCUAGCCAUCCACUCAGGCUUUGUCUGUAGGCAGAGGUUCGGAUGGUCAUCUAUACAGGCUCGCAUGGCGGCUUCGUCCGGAGCCAAAAUGUUAAACUCAAUCGGACUCGCUGCUUAAAAGCCUGUCGCUCGGCGUUUAAAGCAGUUAACUAAAAGAGACGACUAAGCAUGUAGGACCGAAAGUGGCGGUAUAGCGGACGGGGGUUCAAAUCCCCCCAGCUCCACCA